ACAUGAGUUUGAGCAAGCUCCGGAAGACAGUGGACAGGGAAGCCUUGUGUGCUGCAGUUCAUGGGGUCACAAAGAGUCAGACACGACUUAACAACUGAACAAUAAUAACUCAUCUACCCAACACAGAGUAGAGAUUUGUCAUUGUUUAAAUACUUCAGUCAAUGUGGGUAGCCAAUUUGGAGAAAUUCUUGAAUUUUCCCACACUGACUACAUUAACCAGGUAACUGCCAUAUAUCCAGAGUAUUACCUGAUGCUGACACCAGCUUUUCUGUUUAUUCCUCUUGUUUCUUUUUGACUUUACAGACAAAUUAACUCUGUGGUGGCUUUGCUUCUUAUCCAAAUAAUUUAUUUAUGAAUAGGACCCUCUGAUUGAGAUUUUCUAUGUUAAUGCCAAAACACUGUUUAUAUACUAACAGUGAACUGGACUAUUUGUGCAGUAUAGCCACCCUGGCUUGUCAUGGUUUCAGGGGAGCCCUUUUCGCAGGACAUGAAAGCUCUAGUGUUAAAGAUCAAUAAACCCUUUCAGAACCCAUCAACAGUAGCCAAAAACCCUUCCCAUCCAGCCACAUCUACUAGCUUGGCUCCUUUCCUCCAUCAAGGAUUAAAGAAACAAACACAAAAACAAAUCACACCUAUUGAAUCACACCCCUGAACUGUAUUAAAGCCCAUUACUGAAAAAAAUAAAAUAAACCCCAUUUCUGUUGGGGUGAUAAUGAGAGUUGUGAUUGUCUUCAAAUUAAGUAUAUCUCCCUUCAAUGUCCAUACAAAAUGUUUCCAGCUUGCAAGACUGGCUUAAUUCACAUCUUAUCUGGUAAAAUUCUCCAGUGCAAUUACUAAUGCUAACAUUUAGUGAGCAUUUAUCAUGUGUUAGGAUCUGUGCUUUUCAUGCCUUAUCUCAUUUGAUCCUCAGAACACCUCUUAAAGAUGGAAUCAUUACCAACCCAACUUAUGGAUAUUAAAUGUCCAGUUGAAGGAAAUUGAAGAUGAAGGAAAUAUGGGGAAAAUGCUACAGUACGCGCAGAAAACAAAUAACAAAAUACAGAAUAGGAUGAAACAAGAAAUCAGUAGCAGAAGGAAAACUGGAAAGUUGACAAACAUGUGGAAAUAAAAUACCACUCUCUUAAGCAACCAUGGAUCAAAGAAGAAAUUACAAAGGAAAUAAGAAAAUAACUUAAGACAAAUGAAAAUGAAAAAACAACAUACCAACUUAAUGGAUGCAGCAAAAACAGUGCUAAGAGGGAAAUCUCUCUAUAAAUCCAUGAAGAAAA